AACCUUACCAGAUCUUGACAUCCAAUUAGACCAUUCUUUUAAUCGAGAUUUUGCCUUCGGGUACAAUUGAGACAGGUGGUGCAUGGUUGUCGUCAGCUCGUGUCGUGAGAUGUUGGGUUAAGUCCCGCACGAGCGCAACCUUGUGUUUAGUUGCAAACAGGUCAAGCUGUGCACUCUAGACAGACUGUCGUGGACAACACGGAGGAAGGUGGGGAUGACGUCAAAUCAUCAUGCCCCUUAUGAUCUGGGCUACACACGUGCUACAAUGGCCGGUACAACGGGCAGCGAAGGAGCGAUCCGGAGCGAAUCCUAAAAAGCCGGUCCCAGUUCGGAUUGCAGGCUGAAACUCGCCUACAUGAAGUUGGAGUUGCUAGUAAUCGCGAAUCAGAAUGUCGCGGUGAAUGCGUUCCCGGGUCUU
rnacentral:rRNA from 1 species